rnacentral:rRNA from 1 species
GGCUGAAACUCGCCUACAUGAAGCUGGAGUUACUAGUAAUCGCAGAUCAGAAUGCUGCGGUGAAUGCGUUCCCGGGUCUUGUACACACCGCCCGUCACACCACGGAAGUUGGGGCGCCCGAAGCCACUUAGCUAACCCUUUUGGGAAGCGAGUGUCGAAGGUGAAAUCAAUAACUGGGGUGAAGUCGUAACAAGGUACC